AACGAACGCUGGCGGCAUGCCUAACACAUGCAAGUCGAACGAGACCUUCGGGUCUAGUGGCGCACGGGUGCGUAACGCGUGGGAACCUGCCCUUAGGUUCGGAAUAACUCCCCGAAAGGGGUUCUAAUACCGGAUAAUGUCUUCGGACCAAAGAUUUAUCGCCUUUGGAUGGGCCCGCGUUGGAUUAGCUAGUUGGUAGGGUAAAAGCCUACCAAGGCGACGAUCCAUAGCUGGUCUGAGAGGAUGAUCAGCCACACUGGGACUGAGACACGGCCCAGACUCCUACGGGAGGCAGCAGUGGGGAAUAUUGGACAAUGGGCGAAAGCCUGAUCCAGCAAUGCCGCGUGAGUGAGGAAGGCCUUAGGGUUGUAAAGCUCUUUUACCCGGGAUGAUAAUGACAGUACCGGGAGAAUAAGCUCAGGCUAACUCCGUG
rnacentral:rRNA from 1 species